rnacentral:rRNA from 1 species
GACGGUAUGCGUAACGGUGGCCGCGGCGACCUUUCCAGCGUCGUCGUUCGGUACCGGUCCGCGACGAAUCUUCGGGCCUCUUUCCGACCCGUCUUGAAACACGGACCAAGGAGUCUAACGUGCGCGCGAGUCGCGGGGUGUCGAGUGGUUGGCGGUCGUCUUCGGGCGUUCGUCGGGCCACUCGUUACAAUACGAAACCCGUCUCGUUUUACGAAAGGCGCAAUGAAAGUGAAUUUAGGGGAAGAUGACGUUACCGAGUUCACGUUCCGCGCUCUCGAAGCGCGGCCGGUCGUCCGCAUUCCCAGGGCGUCCCAACGGCCCGGCGGCGUUGCGGACCGCCGUCUCUUCGGAGGCGGUGGUCGGGCGUCGUCGAACCGGGGCGCACCUAUAGCGUGCACGUUGGUACCCGAAAGAUGGUGAACUAUGCCCGGCCAGGAUGAAGUCAGGGGAAACCCUGAUGGAGGUCCGCAGCGAUUCUGACGUGCAAAUCGAUCGUCUG